rnacentral:sRNA from 1 species
GCCAGGCAUGGUGGCUCAUGCCUGCAAUCCCAGCAGCUCAGGAGGCUGAGGCAGGAGAAUCGUGAGUUCAAAGCCAGCCCAGCAACAGCAAGGUGCUAAGCAACUCAGUGAGACCCUGUCUCUA